rnacentral:rRNA from 1 species
AUUGAACGCUGGCGGCAGGCCUAACACAUGCAAGUCGAACGAGUGGCGGACGGGUGAGUAAUGUCUGGGAAACUGCCUGAUGGAGGGGGAUAACUACUGGAAACGGUAGCUAAUACCGCAUACUAUCAGAUGAGCCUAGGUUGGAUUAGCUAGUUGGUGGGGUAAAGGCCUACCAAGGCGACGAUCCGUAACUGGUCUGAGAGGAUGAUCAGUCACACUGGAACUGAGACACGGUCCAGACGCCUACGGGAGGCAGCAGUGGGGAAGAUUGGACAAUGGGCGAAAGCAUGAUCCAGCCAUGCCGCGUGUGUGAAGAAGGCCUUCGGGUUGUAAAGUACUUUCAGCGGGGAGGCGUUACCCGCAGAAGAAGCACCGGCUAACUCCGUGCCAGCAGCCGCGGUAAUAC